GCAAGAUUAAAACUCAAAGGAAUAGACGGGGACCCGCACAAGUGGUGGAGCAUGUGGUUUAAUUGGAAGAUACGCGAAGAACUUUACCUAGCCUUGACAUUGAUUGAACGGACCAGAGAUGGACCGGUGCCCUUCGGGGAACAUGAAAACAGGUGCUGCACGGCUGUCGUCAGCUCGUGUCGUGAGAUGUUGGGUUAAGUCCCGCAACGAGCGCAACCCUCGUCAAUAGUUGCCAGCAGGUUAAGCUGGGCACUCUAUUGAGACUGCCUUCGUAAGGAGGAGGAAGGUGAGGACGACGUCAAGUCAUCAUGGCCCUUAUGGCUAGGGCUACACACGUGCUACAAUGGGGCGUACAGAGAGUUGCGAUACCGCGAGGUGGAGCCAAUCUCAUAAAGCGUCUCUCAGUUCGGAUUGAAGUCUGCAACUCGACUUCAUGAAGCUGGAAUCACUAGUAAUCGUAGAUCAGCAAUGCUACGGUGAAUACGUUCCCGGGUCUUGUACUCACCGCCCGUCACACCAUGGGAGUUGAUUUCACCCGAAAUUGGGAAGCUAACCUUCGGGAGGCUACCACUUACGGUGGAAUUAGCGACUGGGGUGAAGUCGUAACAAGGUA
rnacentral:rRNA from 1 species